AGCUCUGUGCAGUGGCAGUAUAGUAGCCCAUGAGAUUUAUCCAAGGUGCAAUUAUUGCUAAUUAAAAAUGAAAAAUUCCAUGUUUUUGAACAUAAAAAUUAAAUAUCUUAAUAUAACAAUACUUAGCACAUGUGCAGAU
ensembl:snRNA U4 U4 spliceosomal RNA